rnacentral:lncRNA from 1 species
AUAGGCUUUUGUUCUCUCUUUAUAUAUUUUUGCAUUCUCGUAGGCAGAUUGCCUAAGUUCUUCUAGUUUAUGAAUGUCUAGGGUACGCUUUUCUCCAGCGGCUAGGUAGUCUAAAUUCAAAGUUUUAAUGGCCCAAUAGGCCUUAUGCUCUAAUUCAAACGGUAAGUGACAGGAUUUUCCAUAGACUAGUUGGUAAGGAGUAGUUCCAAUAGGGGUUUUGAA